UACAGAGGUCCCAAGCGUUGUUCGGAUUCAUUGGGCGUAAAGGGUGCGUAGGCGGCGCGGUAAGUCGGGUGUGAAAUCUCGGAGCUUAACUCCGAAACUGCAUUCGAUACUGCGGUGCUUGAGGACUGGAGAGGAGACUGGAAUUCAUGGUGUAGCAGUGAAAUGCGUAGAGAUCAUGAGGAAGACCAGUGGCGAAGGCGGGUCUCUGGACAGUUCCUGACACUGAGACACGAAGGCCCAGGGGAGCAAACGGGG
rnacentral:rRNA from 1 species